CAGUCGCAUCCUUCAGAAAUCAACCCGACUUAGGUCUCGUGCACUUUCUGUUUGGAUGGGUCAGCAUCAAUUUUGACCAUUGGACAAAGACCUUGGGAACGUGGCAUCUCCGGAUGUGUUAUAGCCCAUGGAUCACAUACAGUGGUUGGGAUUGAGGACAUCUCAGUGCUUGCACUGCAGGAUGCUGGCAUAAUGGCUUUAAUCGACCCGUCUUGAAACACGGACCAAGGAGUCUAACAUAUAUGCG
rnacentral:rRNA from 1 species